UACGUAGGUGGCAAGCGUUGUCCGGAUUUAUUGGGUUUAAAGGGUGCGUAGGCGGUUUUGUAAGUCAGUGGUGAAAUCCUCCAGCUUAACUGGAGGGGUGCCAAUGAUACUGCAGAACUUGAGUACAGAUGAGGUAGGCGGAAUUGACGGUGUAGCGGUGAAAUGCAUAGAUAUCGUCAAGAACACCGAUAGCGAAGGCAGCUUACUGGGCUGUAACUGACGCUGAGGCACGAAAGUGUGGGGAUCAAACAGG
rnacentral:rRNA from 1 species